UGCUGUGGACGGAAUGCAGGGAUGCUGAAACUGAGACUGGACGAUAAAGGAUUGGUUUUGAGGAGACACAUUAAGGUUAGACUGUCUAUCUACCGGAGCCAUUGAUAAUAGGCUAGAUCACACCUGAACUUUUUGAAGCUGCCGAGGUGCACCUGUGUUGGCACUGACAGCAUCUGCAAACAUUGAGUCCAGAGGCUGGGUGACCAAGCUGCUGCAUAUGGAGAAGGCAACAAACAGUGACUGUGAGCCACAACAUGACAAACAGACUUGGACUGAGUCAAGUGCCUGCAGAUAACCUGAACUGCCUAGACUGGAUAGUGAAGGAGGUUAGAGCCAAGGGGCUAUCAGUGUCUCCCAUCCUUAUUUACUAGAGAUCACUAAAGGCAUUAGGAAAGGUGUUCAGUUACACUGAGUACACCAAACAUUAGGAACACAUUCCUAAUAUUGAGUUGAACCAUCAGAACAGCUUCAAUUCAUCAGGGCAUGGACUCUACACAGUAAAUUCAAAAGUGUUAAAUGUAACACUGUCAGCGAAUACAUAUGAGUAAAAAGUACACUGAUCUAA